GCCUGCAAGAGCACCAUCGCCGUUGCUAUCUCUGCUAUCAUUAUCUUGGCGCUCCUCAUGUCUUGUGGUAAGAAAAGGAGAUAUGUUGCUUACUUCAAUAUACGAAGCUUCAGGAUAAUGAUCUCUUCCAUAUUUUGCUUCGUCCUUUUGACAAUAUGGAAUAAUAUCUUUAUUUUAUUAGAUUUAUUUAUCUUGAUGCAGUUCAAGGGGAAUGCGAAAGGAAGGAGGUCAAUACUAAUUUACCAUGUCGUAACCCCAAUAUAUGUCGUCGGUGGUGCUAUUCCAGCAAAUUCACCGGCGGCGGGUACUGCGAUAUUCAGGGUGAUGCAGCAUUUUGUGUGUGCGUGGGUUGUACGCCACCAACAUAAAAUUGCUCAAAGCGAUCUAGAGCAAAGACGGAGAUCCUACAUCGGAAGGAGUUAUAUUCAGGGAGAUUCGUGACUUUGCCCGCUUAAAAUUUCCAAGCAUUUUGUUUUCUUUCGUCGUCCCACGGGCUUGUAUGUAGCACAUUGCCUUGCAGCGUAUGGCUCACGGUCCCAGGUCGGCCGCAUGGUUUGGGCGGAAAGCCUGCCGAACGAUGUAAAUGUUUGGAUGACCAGCUUUGUUGCUGAGCGUGUGUGACUUAUGGAAUCGGAUGUGUUCUAUCUCAAAGAAAAACAUAAAAUUGCUAGUUUGUAUCAAUGUUUUUUGGAAAAUAAAUAAAGUGCGUCUAUCUAUCAAUAACGAUGCUUGUU
rnacentral:lncRNA from 1 species